GGAUAAGUAUUGGAGAGAUAAAAGCCAAAUUCCGAUCAUCUUCGUUAAUUAACAAGUCCUGCAAGUCCUGAGUCGUAUAAUUGCUUUCCUCAUUAAACAACUUGUAAAAGUAAGCCUCCCAUCUGUCCUUAAUAUCACCAUCAGUAA